UCGACUCCUAGAACUGUGAGUGGACAAUUUAUCGUCUUAAAUAUCUAGAGUAAUUAUACUUGUUUGAUGCUUUUAUUGAAUGGUGAAUUUAAAUUAUAAAAUAUUAUGUUUUCCAAUUAAAAUGUUUUUUAAUAAAAAUGAGAUUUAUACUGGUUUUGAAAUCAAAUAUUGUUUUGGGAAAAUUGAGUAUAUGGAGACUGUGUUGAAAUUUAUGAUUUUAUAUGUUAUUGAAAUUGUGGCUUAUGACACUAUGGUAGCAUGAUGGCUAAAUUUUUGGGAUUGGCAUGAAAUAUAUGAACAGUUUUGGAUUGGUCUCGGUAGACUGAAUUACAUUUUAUUCACCAUAUUAUGCUAUUGGAAUUUUUAUGGGUCUGGUGGUAUAUUAAACGGUCACUGCAGUGGUGGGGGUUUCUGUGGACUACUUAUGAGAGGAGCACAGUAACUCAAUUAUAUAUUUACCUCCGGGGGGAGAUGUUGGGUUAAGUAUCUCUUGAGGUAUGAUUUGAGUGCAACUCACGUUCGGGCCACCACGUGAGAGUGAGACUCAGCCAACGUCAAGGAACGGCUGUGUGUUAGAUGUGAAAACAUGUUUAUGGGUAUGGGUCAUUGAACAACCUUGGCGGUCUCAGUGGGAUACCUUGACAAAGGUACCCGCGAGAAUGAUUCUGGCAGGGGCCAAGUUUAAGAAAUUCAUAAGCCGGGAAAUUUUGAUGAAAAGAAAUUGUUUGGUAUAGAUUGAAACAAAUUUUGUGUUAUGAACAUUAUUGAGAUAUAACGUUUUUAUAUUGUCUCCAUCUACUCGGCUUUAGAUGCUUUUGAUGGUAAUUGUUUACUCACUAGGAUUAUGUAAUCAUAAUCUCACCCCUCUUCCUAUCCAUUUUUCAGGCUCAGGAUAAUUUGUUGAUAGUUGAUUAAGACGAGAAUUAAUCUCAGAGUUGCAUCCUAAAAAGUAAGGGUUCGUAGCCCUACAUCUUCUUAGUCAGUUGGGGGCUCACGUGUCACUGUAAAAAUAAUUUUAUUCUUCAGUUAUUUGAUUUAAAGUAUGUAUGAAUAUAUUUAGCUUUUACACCAUGUUUUUGACGAGUUUCG
rnacentral:lncRNA from 1 species